GACGGAGGGGGCUAGCGUUGUUCGGAAUUACUGGGCGUAAAGAGCGCGUAGGCGGUUUAGUAAGUUGGAAGUGAAAGCCCGGGGCUUAACCUCGGAACUGCUUUCAAAACUGCUAAUCUAGAGUUUAGUAGGGGAUGAUGGAAUUCCUAGUGUAGAGGUGAAAUUCUUAGAUAUUAGGAGGAACACCGGAGGCGAAGGCGGUCAUCUGGGCUAUAACUGACGCUGAUGCGCGAAAGCGUGGGGAGCAAACAGG
rnacentral:rRNA from 1 species